rnacentral:rRNA from 1 species
AGUGAACGCUGGCGGUAGGCCUAACACAUGCAAGUCGAACGGCAGCACAGUAAGAGCUUGCUCUUACGGGUGGCGAGUGGCGGACGGGUGAGGAAUACAUCGGAAUCUACUUUUUCGUGGGGGAUAACGUAGGGAAACUUACGCUAAUACCGCAUACGACCUACGGGUGAAAGCAGGGGAUCUUCGGACCUUGCGCGAUUGAAUGAGCCGAUGUCGGAUUAGCUAGUUGGCGGGGUAAAGGCCCACCAAGGCGACGAUCCGUAGCUGGUCUGAGAGGAUGAUCAGCCACACUGGAACCGAGACACGGUCCAGACUCCUACGGGAGGCAGCAGUGGGGAAUAUUGGACAAUGGGCGCAAGCCUGAUCCAGCUAUACCGCGUGGGUGAAGAAGGCCUUCGGGUUGUAAAGCCCUUUUGUUGGGAAAGAAAAGCAGCAGGUUAAUACCCCGCUGUUCUGACGGUACCCAAAGAAUAAGCACCGGCUAACUUCGUG